CAAAUUAUAUCCAGCACUCUCGGGUUCACAUGCCACCAACCCAUCUCCACCCAGAAGUCCCGACGGAUCUUGAGAGCACUGAGCGGACACAGCAGCUAGAACAUUUCUAAAGCUCCAUGGCGAAGGCCAAGGUAGUGAUGUUGGCUGAGGAUCUCCUGACAGUGGCACCCACCCUGACAAACCAAAGCAGGCAAACCAGACUUGGAAGAAGCCCACACAGGCCAUGAGCUUCCCGACGAACAAACAGUGUUAGCUACUGGGCUACUGGUGAAGGUGCGGAUUAAACCCGCGGAGCAGCACAGCCACUACAGCAUCAGCGGCGGGUCAUUUCGCAUCCCAACUCCACAGUCACUUGUCAAAAGCGUUGGUGCCGCUCUUCUCUCCAUCAAAAUCUCAGGCAGGGUGAUCUUGGAUUUAGGAUCAAGAAGCGGAUCUGGGCGCCGCAUUGAAAUGUCUGGGUGAGCCACAGCGGGUUUGUCCCUGUCAUGCCCCUGUAGCAGAGGGUCCUUAGGGGA
rnacentral:lncRNA from 1 species